CGCGACCAUUCGUUUCCAUUUGCAAAAUAUAUGAAAAAUUCUUUCGCAUAUGGAACAUUCGUAUAAGUCGGAAUCCCCUAGAGGAUCCCAUUCCGUUCAUUGAUAUGACAAUGUGAUCCACUCGGAUAGUAAACUAUACUGCACUUUGACUAAAGAUCAGAUGUUAUUGAUGCUGCAAUGUCACAAAUUGAGUAAAAUACAUGAAAAGUUCAGAUGCGGAAGAGUUUUGGCCUACUUAUUCUAGAAAGUGGCGAAAAUAUUAUAAUUUUUGUCAUUUUUCUGUAUUUUUUCUUUAUUGUCUCCAUUUGGUACCAAAAAUGAAUUUAUGACAUGGAAUACUUUGCACACAUUAAUUUCCAUGUUAAUUUCAUACAAUUAUUGAUCAUUCCGGAUCAGGAAACCUUUAAUAUUCAUAAAUUUGUGUUCAGAAGUGAAUAGUUUUGAAUAUCAGGAUUUUUGUAAAUGUUCAAUGAAAUGUUGUUCCAUGGUGAAGGUAUCCAUUUUUGAAUUUAAAUGAAUUUUUCUACUAGAAUAUGUUAUUUGGGUCCUGCUCUGAUGAUUUAAGCAUAAAAAUAAGCAAUAUUGAAAGUAUAGUGUAUUUUUAUGCCUUACACAAAAAUUCAAAAAAAUCAAAAAAAUUCAAAAAAAUCCAAAUUUUUCCCAUUUUUGAUACUUCGCCGUUGAGCCGUGACAUCUCAGUUUAUAUUUUUUUCGCAAAAAAACGCCUGAUUCGUGAUCAGGGGAUCCCAUAGCCAAGGUUAUAACCCUCGCCGUUAAAAUGUUUGAAAAAUGCUACACCCUAAUAUACGUGCGUUUUGUAUCGAUUUGAUCCGAAUAUUUCAACACUUGAUGAAUCGAUUGAUCCGCAGCUCAGACAGAUUGUUGAAUUGAAGUCACCAGUUUAAUACCAAAACAUCAAAGUGUUUUGAAAUGGGUGAUUUGCCAGAAAACUCAUUACGAGUGAAGCGUAUAACCAGAGCAAAAAAAGGCUUCGUCGAAUGCCACGAAAGACAUGGACUUGAAGAUGGUGAUUAUAUAACCUUUUUCCGGGUAUAAUGAAUUCAUUCAAAAGAGUUUAUUUCAAAUUGAAUGAUCUUGCACAAAAAAUUUUCGUUGGAGUUUUUUCUUUUAUCUUUUCAGGUCCGAGGUAUGACCGGUUUAAAUGGCCAGAUUUUUAAAAUAAAAAUUCGUGAUGCAUAUGAAUUCUUCAUUGGUAAUACGGAAAAAUUCAAAGGUAGAUAUGAAGGGGGUGGCGUGGUGUUUCGUCCGGUUCUAGUCUCUCCGCCUAGAAUAUCAUACGAAAUGCGUCAGCAAAACAAUGAAGAUGCAGUGUGGAAUUGGUGGAAAAUGCAGUUUUUCAAUUGGUCGAAAAGAACACUGCAAUUGUUAAAUAACAAUUUUGCAAUUUGAGUGUAACUGAAAAAUUAUUGCUUCUCUCCUUGCAUGUUGCCUUGACAGGUUGCAUUUUUUUUACCGAGCCAAAUAAAAUAGAUAAAACGAAUAUUUAAAAUAAAAAAACGAAAAGCACGGCAACAAAAACUAUACACAUCGCAAGAACAAAAUACGCUGCAUUCGAGGAAAGUGGAGAACAGCGGAAAAGUGUGAAAAUUGUUGUAAAAUCAUUUAGUGAAUCGUGUAUGUGAGUGACUUGUGUUUUUGUGUAGCAAACAUAACCUACACACAACCGGCAUAACACUCACUACAAACAGCGACAUCUGUUGCACGAUAACACAACCAUUUUCGUAUUCGCUGAACAACAAUGAACAAACAUAACUGUAGUGGAAAAAAAUGCAACGGCACUCGAUUUUAUGGCGAUUUUGGAUCGGGCAGCCGUUGGGAUAAUCGUCCGCAAUUCCAUCAAAAUUCGGUCAACAGGUCUUUCCAAAGACUAAAUUAUGUGGACAACCGUCGAAAAAUGCACAACACUUUGAUAAUUGCUGUUGCCAAAAAUGUUUCGACGAUUAUGAGAGGAGAUAUGAGGAUUUUCGUCAGGCUCGUCUCAACCAUCGGCCACCGGCUCAGCGCUGGCAACGGUGGCGUUAACCAUAAAUAACAGCUCAAACUUAUCUGCAAGUUUUUCAUCGAUGGAUUUGAACAUUAGUCACUCAGGUAAUUUAAAAAAUUACAGUAUAUGUUCUCCACAAGGGGAAUUGAGUGCUACGCAUAAAUUUAAUGAUGAAAAAUUUUCAACGCAGAUAAAUAUACAUUCACAAAAUGUGAAUGGUUUACGAACAAAAAUUUCGGAGUUUGCGGCUGAGAUAAUGGUUUCGAAAAUCGUCGAUUUACAUGAUACGCGAAACUCAUUUAAGUGAUGCAAUCAGUUCUGACGACGUUUUUCCACCAAUGUACGAGGUCUAUCGAUGUGACCGUUCAUCAAUCACAGAAAAGGACCAAAUACAUAAAAAGGAGCACGGAGGUGGAGUUUUGAUUGCAGUCAACAACAAACUGAAGUCAGUUUGCAUCGGAACGGGAGACCAUAUCGGGCUCACUGUCAAUGGUCCCCCAAAUUAUCCAUUAUCCAACAUCCAUUCAUCCAUG